rnacentral:rRNA from 1 species
AUGAACCUCCGCCAUGAGGGAUCGCAGUCUUCGGCGAACACGGCGACACGCGGGCAUGGCCAUGGCGGUGGUGACCGCGGCCGCGGAAGGCAAGGCAGCGGCAACUCUGGUGGUGAUCGCGGCCAUCCCUACACCAAGCAAAACGGCCGCGGUGGAGGUGGCAGGGGCAACUACAACAACUCUGCCUCUGCACCCAAGGUGGUGUGCCAGAUCUGUGGCAAGCCAGACCACCUGGCCUGGAAGUGCUGGAAGCGCUAUGAUGAGUCAUACCAGGGAGAAGAAGAGAAGUCCGCCAACAUGGUGACGCCUCAGUAUGGGGUAGACACAAAUUGGUACCUGGAUAGCGGCGCCACCGACCACAUCACCGGCGACUUGGAGAAACUGACGGUGCGCAACAGGUACACCGGCGGCGAGCAGAUCCACACUGCAUCUGGUUCAGGAACAGGGAACGAGGAAGGUUCUACUUCGAGGCAAGGGUAG